UGGGGAAUUUUGCACAAUGGGGGAAACCCUGAUGCAGCGACGCCGCGUGAUUUAGAAGGCCUUCGGGUUGUAAAAAUCUUUUCUAUGGGAAGAAAAUGACAGUACCAUAGGAAUAAGGACCGGCUAAUUACGUGCCAGCAGCCGCGGUAAUACGUAAGGUCCGAGCGUUGUCCGGAAUCAUUGGGCGUAAAGGGUACGUGGGCGGGUAAGCAAGUUAGAAGUGAAAUCCUAUAGCUCAACUAUAGUAAGCUUUUAAAACUGCUCAUCUUGAGGGAUGGAAGGGAAAGUGGGAUUCCUAGUGUAGGGGUGGAAUGCGCAGAUAUUAGGAGGAAUACCGGUGGCGAAGGCGGGUUUCUGGCCAUAACCUGACGCUGAGGUACGAAAGCGUGGGUAGCAAACAGG
rnacentral:rRNA from 1 species